rnacentral:rRNA from 1 species
UACGGGGGGGGGCAAGCGUUGUUCGGAAUUACUGGGCGUAAAGGGCUCGUAGGUGGCCAACUAAGUCAGACGUGAAAUCCCUCGGCUUAACCGGGGAACUGCGUCUGAUACUGGAUGGCUUGAGUUCGGGAGAGGGAUGCGGAAUUCCAGGUGUAGCGGUGAAAUGCGUAGAUAUCGUAAGGAAGACCAGUGGCGAAGGCGG